rnacentral:misc_RNA from 1 species
GGAAGAAAUGUUAUAGGGUUAAAAUGGGUGUGCAAGGCUAAAAUGAAUCCAGAUGGGUCUUUGCACAAGCUAAAGGCCAGACUUGUGGUGAAGGGAUAUGCUCAACAACCUGGUUUGGAUUUCAGUGACACAUUUACACCAGUUGCUCGGCAUGAUACUGUCAGACUCUUAAUAGCUCUAGUAGCUCAAUGUAAAUGGAAAAUAUUCCAUCUAGAUGUGAAGUCUGCUUUUUUGAAUGGUGAGCUGCAGGAAGAGAUCUUUGUUGAACAACCUCAAGGGUAUGAAAUUGCAGACAAGGAAUGGAUGGUUUAUAAGCUCCAUAAGGCUUUAUAUGGACUGAAGCAGGCUCCAAGAGCCUGGUAUAGCAACGUGGAUUCUUACUUGUUGGAUUGUGGUUUCAGGAGGAGUGAAAAUGAGGUCACUCUCUGCACAAGAAAAGAAAAAGGAGGGAGAAUGCUCAUAGUGUCCUUAUAUGUUGAUGAUUUACUUGUCACAGGGAAUGAUGAAGUGCAAAUUAUCAAGUUUAAGGCGGAAAUGGAAAAGAUUUUUGAAAUGACUGAUUUGGGGGAAAUGAAAUACUUUCUUGGAAUGGAAAUUCAACAGGAAGAAAGGGGAAUCUUCAUAUCUCAGCAGAAGUAUGCUUCAGAUCUUCUUAAAAGAUUCAAAAUGGAGGGAUGUACGGCUGUAUCAACUCCAUUGGUGGCCGAUAAGAAGUUGUCAAAGGAAAAUGCAGGUGCAAGGGCAGAUUCUACAAAUUGC